AGUAGUCAGGUGGUUUGGACAGACUCUGGCCUCCCAAUCCUGGAGCUCCCGUAAGCGCAGGUCUGCUGAAAGUUUGCAUAUGCCUCAUGCACCUGCGGUUGGACCAUUAGUGCAUCUACCAUUGUUGCACUGCCCUCUCUUCCUCAGCAUACAUCUCUGGCUAGAUGUCAAGAUCCCUGAGACAGAGAUGACUGAGCAAAUAAAAAGUUAAGCCUGAUUUGCAGACAGACCCUCAGUAAAAUCCAGAUUGAGUUUUAUUGAGGAUAAAGAAGACACCUUUAAUCUUGGAGCCCUGGAUUUUCUGUUCAAAGACUCAGUCUUGGAUAUCCUUUGAUGACAGACUGUUUCUAGAGAAGUUUCUGUUAUUAUGUGUGCCCGUCAAAUUUUU